AAGUUGUAACAAGGUUUCCGUAGGUGAACCUGCGGAAGGAUCAUUAACAAAUCCAAUAUGGAGGAGGGGUGAAUAACCCUAACUCUAAUAUUAAACCGCUAGUCCGAUUAGGGCUAGUUGGAUAUAUAUGCGUGUAUGUUGACAGUGUGUGACCUAAAAAUUUAUUGACAACUUUUAACAAUGGAUCUCUAGGCUCUUGCAGCGAUGAAGAACGCAGCAAAAUGCGAAACGUGAUGCGAUUUGCAUGAAUCUGUGAGUCAUCUAAUCUUUGAACGCGAAUGGCACUGUUAUGUAAGUAACAGUAUGUCUGUUUGAGAAUCGCAAAACAAGAUCAACUCUAGUUGAGAGUUGGGAUUGGCCUUAUUUACGCUGUGCGUGUAUUUGGCUUGAAUAUAUCGAGUUGAUGAGCUUCCCAGUGCGGCUCAAUGUGUGCUAGCGAGACAGUCGUCCCGAUCUCACAUUAUUGUCGCAUUGCAGAGUUCUGUCCACAGCUCGCUAAACCACUAAUAUCAAAUACGAUCUCAAAUCAGGCAAGAUUACCCGCUGAACUUAA
rnacentral:rRNA from 1 species